rnacentral:rRNA from 1 species
UAGAGUGGCGAACGGGUGAGUAACACGUGGGAGACCUACCUUCGAAUGGGGGAUAACGUCCCGAAAGGGACGCUAAUACCGCAUAACAUCCUGCUUUUGAACAGGUGGAGAUCAAAGCCGGGGAUCGCAAGACCUGGCGUUUGAAGAGGGGCCCGCGUCUGAUUAGCUAGUUGGUGAGGUAACGGCCCACCAAGGCUACGAUCAGUAUCCGGCCUGAGAGGGCGGACGGACACACUGGGACUGAGACACGGCCCAAACUCCUACGGGAGGCAGCAUUGGGGAAUUGUUCACAAUGGGCGCAAGCCUGAUGACGCAACGCCGCGUGGAGGAUGAAGGUCUUCGGAUUGUAAACUCCUGUUGCUCGGGACGAAAAGCUUCGACCUAAUACGUCGAAGUCUGACGGUACCGGGUGAGGAAGCCCCGGCUAACUCUGUGCCAGCAGCCGCGGUAAUACAGAGGGGGCAAGCGUUGUUCGGAAUUACUGGGCGUAAAGGGCGCGUAGGCGGCCUUCUAAGUCAGACGUGAAAUCCCUGGGCUCAACCCAGGAACUGCGUCUGAUACUGGAAGGCUUGAAUCCGGGAGAGGGAUGUGGAAUUCCAGGUGUAGCGGUGAAAUGCGUAGAUAUCUGGAGGAACACCGGUGGCGAAGGCGGCAUCCUGGACCGGUAUUGACGCUGAGGCGCGAAAGCCAGGGGAGCAAACGGGAUUAGAUACCCCGGUAGUCCUGGCCCUAAACGAUGAAUGCUUGGUGUGGCGGGUAUCGAUCCCUGCCGUGCCGAAGCUAACGCAUUAAGCAUUCCGCCUGGGGAGUACGGUCGCAAGGCUG